rnacentral:rRNA from 1 species
AUUGAACGCUGGCGGCAUGCUUUACACAUGCAAGUCGAACGGUAACAGGGAGCUUGCUCCGCUGACGAGUGGCGAACGGGUGAGUAAUGCGUCGGAACGUGCCGAGUAGUGGGGGAUAACGCAUCGAAAGGUGUGCUAAUACCGCAUACGUACUGAGGUAGAAAGUGGGGGACCUUCGGGCCUCACGCUAUUCGAGCGGCCGACGUCUGAUUAGCUAGUUGGUGAGGUAAAGGCUCACCAAGGCGACGAUCAGUAGCGGGUCUGAGAGGAUGAUCCGCCACACUGGGACUGAGACACGGCCCAGACUCCUACGGGAGGCAGCAGUGGGGAAUUUUGGAAAAUGGGCGCAAGCCUGAUCCAGCCAUGCGGCGUGUCUGAAGAAGGCCUUCGGGUUGUGAAGGACUUUUGUCCGGGAGCAAAUGCCUGGUGUUAAUAGCACUGGGAGCUGAGAGUACCGGAAGAAUAAGCACCGGCUAACUACGUGCCAGCCGCCGCCGUAACAC